AGGACCUUUUGGACAUUCUCACAAGCACUCCGUGAAAGAAAGCGUCGAACGUUCCUUUGGGCAUCUUUCCCCAGAGGGCCCAAAACGCCAAAUUGCAACAGUGGCAGCCAACUAAGACCCCUCCACUCCUUGGACACUCCCCACCCUCCUGCAUCCUGCCCUGGAGGCACAAGAAGCAGCAGGUAGCUGGUGGAAGAGAAAGUGCAGGGAAGAGUAGAGAAGCUGACUGGAUAGCCCUUCCCCACUGCAGACUCCCAGACCCACAUACCUGAGCUAUGGUGGAUGGGAGAAGGUUUACAUUGGAUGCAUGAUUGGAAGUUUGGUAGUACUCUGGGCUUUCUAGUACCUGCAAAGGAGAUCUGUGAGACAGAUAUUAUCCAGAGGCAGGAAAGGCGAUCUGACAGAGGGCUGGAAAGAAGACUGUUUCCCACUUUGCUCCCUAAGAAGUCCAGCCCAUUCAAAAGCUGAGUCUACAUCUAGAGCAUAAUUACGGAUGACAGGGUGACUGAAAACACAUCGUUCCUUUACAAGCAACAUGGCCACCAAAUGCAGGACGACCCCUCAACAGCAUCCUGGAUCAGCGAAGCCCGUAGUGAAGGAAUCUUCCUAGAGAAUUCUCUUUAUGCGCCUGUAUCAUGCUUAUUGUGGCUUCCACUGCAUGGUUCUGACAGUCAGACAUCUGAAAAUAAAUUAUCAUGGUAAGGAUUGUUAUUUUAAA